AAUACAAUUUUGUUUUCUAUUUACUCUCGCAUCGCUCGUAUAUAAGACUAGUUUUUAAUAAGACAAAAGCCUUUAGUACACAACAAGAAUCCGCCUUUCUAGCGUCUGAGCUUAGCGUCCGUCAUACAAAUCAGACGGUAAAUGUUAAAAUACCGUCCGUUUAUUAAUCAGACACUCAAUAGCGUCCGCUUUUCAUCAUUCAGCGUCCGCAAUUUAAACAGACGUCAAUUACCGUCUGUCUUUGGGAUUCAGCGUCUGAUUAUCGACGGACGGUAAGUUAGCGUCCGGAAUGUCAGACGCUACUUGCUUUAGGCGGACGCUAAUAAAGCGGCUAUAACAAAAUCAAAACCGACCCUUCCACCCACAGACGACAUCUAUUCUCUCCAAACCAAACCCUAACCUCUCUAUUCUCUAUUCUUUCUCGCUCUUCUCUCUCACCCUCGACCAAACCCUAACCUCUCUAUACAACGGAGAAAUGAACAGCUCAAGUGAAAAUCAAUGGUGAAUUCAUCUUCUUCAACCUUGUUGUCGGCUAUGGCGGCAACAUCCGAUAAAGAUAAAGAAGAUAUACUGGAAAGAAUGCUUACCAACUUAGCUUUUUCCUCGCGCUAUCUUACUCGCCAAGCUUCUUCCUCGCGCUAUCGCUGCUCUCUCUUCUCAAUCUACUUCAAUUCGAUUAUUCGAAACAAGGUACAGACGCAAUUUGCUAUGAUACCAAGUUGAUGCAGGACACAGGACACUUUGCUUCUCUUAUCAUUAUGCAUUCAUAAUAGCUGAGAUAAAUUCCUGAUUCAGUAAGAUUUGAUCUCACUGUUAUCUGCAUGUAUAACUUCUGCAUCUAUUCUGGCUUCGAAAGGCUCGGGCUUUAAGAUGAUGCUCAUAAACGUGGUUCCCGGUUCUUGACGGGACCAUCUGGACGCUCUCGCCAUGACUCAAAUGAAGGGUAGGUUUGCAUAUAUGUAGGCUGUAGCAAAGAAUGCUGCAGGAAUCAGAUUGAUGUACCACAGCUGAAAAUGUCAGCCAAGACAAAGAUGAGAAUAGGUGGCUGGCGCGGUGGAGGGGUGGCUGAUGCGGCGGAGAUGUGGCUGAUGCACUGGUGAGGUUUCUGGUGGUGCGGUGGCUGGCCCGGUGGUGCAGUACCUCGGCAUUAGCAGUGGCUCAGACUAGUAUUAGAUUGAAGUUAUAUUAGAUUUUAGUUACAAUGUAAUUAUACUAUUAUAAUACUAAAUUUUGGUAUUAGAUUGUAAUUAUAUAUUUAAUUUAAAUAAAAUUCUCAUUUGUUUAA